UACGUAGGGACCAAGCGUUGUUCGGAUUUACUGGGCGUAAAGGGCGCGUAGGCGGCGCGGUAAGUCACUUGUGAAAUCUCUGAGCUUAACUCAGAACGGCCAAGUGAUACUGCAGUGCUAGAGUGCAGAAGGGGCAAUCGGAAUUCUUGGGUGUAGCGGUGAAAUGCGUAGAUAUCAAGAGGAACACCUGAGGUGAAGACGGGUUGCUAGGCUGACACUGACGGCUGAGGCGCGAAAGCCAGGGGAGCAAACGGG
rnacentral:rRNA from 1 species